AUGAGGCUCCCUGUUCAGCUCCUGGGGCUGCUAAUGCUCUGGGUCCCUGGAUCCAGUGAGGAUAUUGUGAUGACCCAGACUCCACUCUCCCUGCCCGUCACCCCUGGAGAGCCGGCCUCCAUCUCCUGCAAGUCUAGUCAGAGCCUCUUGGAUAGUGAUGAUGGAUACACUUAUUUGGAUUGGUACCUGCAGAAGCCAGGCCAGUCUCCACAGUUUCCGAUCUAUGAUGUUUCAAGCCAGGCCUCUGGAGUCCCAGACAGGUUCAGUGGCAGUGGGUCAGGCACUGAUUUCACACUGAAAAUCAGCCGGGUGGAGGCUGAGGAGGUUGGGGUAUAUUACUGCGAAAUACAGGGUGAUGUAAACCGUUUUAUUUUCCAAAGUUCAGAAUUUGAGAUUGGGCAGACUUCGGGAAUGGGAGCAUGA